rnacentral:lncRNA from 1 species
UGUUUAUCAGGGAGCCAGUUAUGAGCCUGCCAAACAGCUGGUUCAUCAGUUAGAUAAAAGGGCAUUUGGGGUGAGACUAUAUGGAGACAGAAUGUCUCUUCUUGUUACAUCUUGAAGACAGUGUAGGUAGGUGAAGAGAAGACUUGACUCCUAGGCCACAAGAGGGAGCUUCAGCUUGCUGGGAAAGAGGCCUCAUCUGUGCAUAGUAACUGGCUUCUCCGUUUACU